rnacentral:rRNA from 1 species
GAUCAAGCUACAAAGGGCGCACGGUGAAUGCCCUGGCACUAGGAGCCGAUGAAGGACGUGAUAAGCUGCGAUAAGCUUCGAGUAGGUGCAAAUAACCUGUGAUUCGAAGAUGUCCGAAUGGGGAAACCCGGCAGGCUAACGCCUGUCACUAUAUGCUGAAUACAUAGGUAUAUAGAGGUAGACUCGGGGAACUGAAACAUCUAAGUACCCGAAGGAAGAGAAAGAAAAAUCGAUUUCCUGAGUAGCGGCGAGCGAAACGGAAAGAGCCCAAACCAGGAACUUGUUCCUGGGGUUGAGGAUAGAACAUAACGCUUUGAUUUUCUUAGCCAAAUAUAACUGGAAAGUUAAGCCGCAGAAGGUAAUAGCCCUGUAGGCGAAAAGAAAAGAAAAGUAGUUCUACUCCAGAGUACCACGAGACACGAGAAACCUUGUGGGAAGCAGGGAGGACCAUCUCCCAAGGCUAAAUACUACCUAGUGACCGAUAGUGAAGCAGUACCGUGAGGGAAAGGUGAAAAGAACCCCGGAAGGGGAGUGAAAUAGAACCUGAAACCGUGUGCCUACAAACGGUCGGAGCACUUUAUAUGUGUGACGGCGUGCUUUUUGUAGAACGAGCCAGCGAGUUACGAUAUACAGCAAGGUUAAGCACUUAAGGUGUGGAGCCGAAGGGAAACCGAGUCUGAAUAGGGCAACUAGUUGUAUGUCGUAGACCCGAAACCGAGUGACCUAUCCAUGGCCAGGUUGAAGCGAAAGUAAAAUUUCGUGGAGGACCGAACCACGUUGGUGUUGAAAAACCAUGGGAUGAGCUGUGGAUAGCGGAGAAAUUCCAAUCGAACUCGGAGAUAGCUGGUUCUCCUCGAAAUAGCUUUAGGGCUAGCGUCGGGUAAUUAAGUAGUGGAGGUAGAGCACUGAAUGGGCUAGGGGCAUAGCGCUUACCGAACCCUAUCAAACUCCGAAUGCCAUAUACUUGUAUCCCGGCAGUCAGGCUGCGAGUGAUAAGAUCCGUGGCCAAAAGGGAAACAGCCCAGACCAUCAGCUAAGGUCCCAAAGUGUAAGUUAAGUGGGAAAGGAUGUGGGAUUUCUAAGACAACUAGGAUGUUGGCUUAGAAGCAGCCACUCAUUUAAAGAGUGCGUAAUAGCUCACUAGUCGAGAGAUCCUGCGCCGAAGAUGUACCGGGGCUAAAACUUACCACCGAAGCUAUGGAUGUACACUACGUGUACGUGGUAGAGGAGCUUUCUACACAGGCUGAAGCCAUACCGUAAGGAGUGGUGGACAGUGUAGAAGUGAGAAUGCUGGCAUAAGUAGCGAGAAACAGGUGAGAAUCCUGUUGGCCGAAUAUCUAAGGUUUCCUGGGGAAGGCUCGUCCUCCCAGGGUUAGUCGGGACCUAAGCCGAGGCCGAAAGGCGUAGGUGAUGGACAACUGGUUGAUAUUCCAGUACCACCAAUAUGCGUUUGACAGAUGGGAUGACGCAGGAGGAUAGGAUGUGCACACUAUUGGAUGUGUGUUCAAGCACUUAGGAGGACUAGACAGGAAAAUCCGUUUAGUCAUAACUCUGAGGUGUGAUGAGGAGCCAAUUGAGGCGAAGUAUCUGAUUCCACGCUGCCAAGAAAAGUCUCUAUGGAGUAUGUUGGUGCCCGUACCGCAAACCGACACAGGUAGAUGAGGAGAGAAUCCUAAGGCCGGCGGAAGAAUUACUGCUAAGGAACUCGGCAAAUUGACCCCGUAACUUAGGGAGAAGGGGUGCCUACGAGAGUAGGCCGCAGUGAACAGGCCCAAGCAACUGUUUAUCAAAAACACAGGUCUCUGCUAAAGCGUAAGCUGAUGUAUAGGGGCUGACGCCUGCCCGGUGCUGGAAGGUUAAGGGGAAUGGUUAGUCUUCGGGCGAAGCCAAGAACUUAAGCCCCAGUAAACGGCGGCCGUAACUAUAACGGUCCUAAGGUAGCGAAAUUCCUUGUCGGGUAAGUUCCGACCCGCACGAAUGGCGUAAUGAUUUGGGCACUGUCUCGGCAGUAAAUCCGGUGAAAUUGAAGUGUGAGUGAAGAUGCUCACUACCCGCGGUUGGACGGAAAGACCCCGUAGAGCUUUACUGUAGCUUAGCAUUGAAUUUCGGUAUUGUCUGUACAGGAUAGGUGGGAGACUGAGAAUCAGGGGCGUCAGCUUCUGAGGAGUCGACCUUGGGAUACCACCCUGACAGUAUUGGAAUUCUAACUGGCGGCCAUGAAUCUGGUCACAGGACAUUGCUAGGUGGGCAGUUUGACUGGGGCGGUCGCCUCCUAAAAGGUAACGGAGGCGCCCAAAGGUUCCCUCAGCGCGGUCGGAAAUCGCGCGAAGAGUGUAAAGGCAGAAGGGAGCCUGACUGCGAGACAUACAGGUCGAGCAGGGACGAAAGUCGGGCUUAGUGAUCCGGUGGUUCUGAAUGGAAGGGCCAUCGCUCAACGGAUAAAAGCUACCUCGGGGAUAACAGGCUGAUCUCCCCCAAGAGUCCACAUCGACGGGGAGGUUUGGCACCUCGAUGUCGGCUCGUCGCAUCCUGGGGCUGUAGUCGGUCCCAAGGGUUGGGCUGUUCGCCCAUUAAAGCGGCACGCGAGCUGGGUUCAGAACGUCGUGAGACAGUUCGGUCCCUAUCCGCCGUGGGCGCAGGAAAUUUGAGAGGAGCUGUCCUUAGUACGAGAGGACCGGGAUGGACCAACCUCUGGUGCACCAGUUGUCACGCCAGUGGCACAGCUGGGUAGCUAUGUUGGGAAGGGAUAAACGCUGAAAGCAUCUAAGCGUGAAGCCCACCUCAAGAUUAGAUUUCCCAUAGCGUAAGCUAGUAAGACCCCUGGAAGACUACCAGGUUGAUAGGUCAGAGGUGUAAGCGUGGUAACAUGUUAAGCUGACUGAUACUAAUAGGUCGAGGGCUUGAUCAA